rnacentral:rRNA from 1 species
UUAAGCGACUAAGCGUACACGGUGGAUGCCCUGGCAGUCAGAGGCGAUGAAGGACGUGCUAAUCUGCGAAAAGCGUCGGUAAGGUGAUAUGAACCGUUAUAACCGGCGAUGUCCGAAUGGGGAAACCCAGUGCAAUUCGUUGCACUAUCGUUAACUGAAUACAUAGGUUAACGAGGCGAACCGGGGGAACUGAAACAUCUAAGUACCCCGAGGAAAAGAAAUCAACCGAGAUUCCCCCAGUAGCGGCGAGCGAACGGGGAACAGCCCAGAGUCUGAAUCAGCUUGUGUGUUAGUGGAACGGUCUGGAAAGUCCGACGGUACAGGGUGAUAGUCCCGUACACCAAAAUGCACAGGCUGUGAACUCGAAGAGUAGGGCGGGACACGUGGUAUCCUGUCUGAAUAUGGGGGGACCAUCCUCCAAGGCUAAAUACUCCUGACUGACCGAUAGUGAACCAGUACCGUGAGGGAAAGGCGAAAAGAACCCCGGCGAGGGGAGUGAAAAAGAACCUGAAACCGUGUACGUACAAGCAGUGGGAGCACCUUCGGGUGUGACUGCGUACCUUUUGUAUAAUGGGUCAGCGACUUAUAUUCUGUAGCAAGGUUAACCGUAUAGGGGAGCCGCAGGGAAACCGAGUCUUAACUGGGCGUUAAGUUGCAGGGUAUAGACCCGAAACCCGGUGAUCUAGCCAUGGGCAGGUUGAAGGUUGGGUAACACUAACUGGAGGACCGAACCGACUAAUGUUGAAAAAUUAGCGGAUGACUUGUGGCUGGGGGUGAAAGGCCAAUCAAACCGGGAGAUAGCUGGUUCUCCCCGAAAGCUAUUUAGGUAGCGCCUCGUGAACUCAUCUUCGGGGGUAGAGCACUGUUUCGGCUAGGGGGUCAUCCCGACUUACCAACCCGAUGCAAACUACGAAUACCGAAGAAUGUUAUCACGGGAGACACACGGCGGGUGCUAACGUCCGUCGUGAAGAGGGAAACAACCCAGACCGCCAGCUAAGGUCCCAAAGUCAUGGUUAAGUGGGAAACGAUGUGGGAAGGCACAGACAGCCAGGAUGUUGGCUUAGAAGCAGCCAUCAUUUAAAGAAAGCGUAAUAGCUCACUGGUCGAGUCGGCCUGCGCGGAAGAUGUAACGGGGCUAAACCAUGCACCGAAGCUGCGGCAGCGACACUAUGUGUUGUUGGGUAGGGGAGCGUUCUGUAAGCCUGCGAAGGUGACCUGUGAGGGUUGCUGGAGGUAUCAGAAGUGCGAAUGCUGACAUAAGUAACGAUAAAGCGGGUGAAAAGCCCGCUCGCCGGAAGACCAAGGGUUCCUGUCCAACGUUAAUCGGGGCAGGGUGAGUCGACCCCUAAGGCGAGGCCGAAAGGCGUAGUCGAUGGGAAACAGGUUAAUAUUCCUGUACUUGGUGUUACUGCGAAGGGGGGACGGAGAAGGCUAUGUUAGCCGGGCGACGGUUGUCCCGGUUUAAGCAUGUAGGCUGGUUAUCCAGGCAAAUCCGGAUAAUCAAGGCUGAGGUGUGAUGACAAGGCACUACGGUGCUGAAGUAACAAAUGCCCUGCUUCCAGGAAAAGCCUCUAAGCAUCAGGUAACAUCAAAUCGUACCCCAAACCGACACAGGUGGUCAGGUAGAGAAUACCAAGGCGCUUGAGAGAACUCGGGUGAAGGAACUAGGCAAAAUGGUGCCGUAACUUCGGGAGAAGGCACGCUGGUGUGUAGGUGAAGCCCCUGCGGGUGGAGCUGAGACCAGUCGAAGAUACCAGCUGGCUGCAACUGUUUAUUAAAAACACAGCACUGUGCAAACACGAAAGUGGACGUAUACGGUGUGACGCCUGCCCGGUGCCGGAAGGUUAAUUGAUGGGGUUAUCCGUAAGGAGAAGCUCUUGAUCGAAGCCCCGGUAAACGGCGGCCGUAACUAUAACGGUCCUAAGGUAGCGAAAUUCCUUGUCGGGUAAGUUCCGACCUGCACGAAUGGCGUAAUGAUGGCCAGGCUGUCUCCACCCGAGACUCAGUGAAAUUGAACUCGCUGUGAAGAUGCAGUGUACCCGCGGCAAGACGGAAAGACCCCGUGAACCUUUACUAUAGCUUGACACUGAACAUUGAGCCUUGAUGUGUAGGAUAGGUGGGAGGCUUUGAAGCGUGGACGCCAGUCUGCGUGGAGCCAACCUUGAAAUACCACCCUUUAAUGUUUGAUGUUCUAACGUUGGCCCCUGACCGGGGUUGCGGACAGUGUCUGGUGGGUAGUUUGACUGGGGCGGUCUCCUCCCAAAGCGUAACGGAGGAGCACGAAGGUUAGCUAAUCCUGGUCGGACAUCAGGAGGUUAGUGCAAUGGCAUAAGCUAGCUUGACUGCGAGCGUGACGGCGCGAGCAGGUGCGAAAGCAGGUCAUAGUGAUCCGGUGGUUCUGAAUGGAAGGGCCAUCGCUCAACGGAUAAAAGGUACUCCGGGGAUAACAGGCUGAUACCGCCCAAGAGUUCAUAUCGACGGCGGUGUUUGGCACCUCGAUGUCGGCUCAUCACAUCCUGGGGCUGAAGUAGGUCCCAAGGGUAUGGCUGUUCGCCAUUUAAAGUGGUACGCGAGCUGGGUUUAGAACGUCGUGAGACAGUUCGGUCCCUAUCUGCCGUGGGCGCUGGAGAAUUGAGGGGGGCUGCUCCUAGUACGAGAGGACCGGAGUGGACGCAUCACUGGUGUUCGGGUUGUCAUGCCAAUGGCACUGCCCGGUAGCUAAAUGCGGAAGAGAUAAGUGCUGAAAGCAUCUAAGCACGAAACUUGCCCCGAGAUGAGUUCUCCCUGAGACUUUAAGUCUCCUGAAGGAACGUUGAAGACGACGACGUUGAUAGGCCGGGUGUGUAAGCGCAGCGAUGUGUUGAGCUAACCGGUACUAAUGAACCGUGAGGCUUAACCUU